GAGUGCCCACAGCUCAGUCUCCAACACCACCUUCACCUCAGUGGCCUUUCUUCCUUAAGUUGCCAUGGGACUUCUGACUGCCUUGUUAGCUGUGGCCGUUUUCACAGAAUCCCAGGCUGUUGUGCUCAGAGAUGAAUCGAGGUCCCAACUGAAUGAGUUAAAAGAGGAGCUCCAGGAAUACAUGCGAAAUAUUAGCAGCGCCGUUUAUGAAAAGCAGAUUCUGUUUCGAAGAUCGGAGCUCAGCAAGCAGUUAGAACGUUACCUUCAGGAUAACGUUUCCCAAAUCAAGAGGCGCUGGAAUAAGCUGCAGAGGGAGCUGCCUGCUGAGAUAGCCGAGGCAUACAACUUAGCGGCCACCGUUCCGAUAGCCGUGGUGAUGAAGACAUACUCCACUCUGACGGAAGUGAGGAAAAAACUGAAUUCUGCCAUGGAGGAACUCUACGAUCUUCUACAUCCCGUUUUGGGCCCCCACGCCACUCCGGUCCUGGAGGUGGUGAGAGCCCAUGCCAAAAUCGUCAGUACCCAACUGCAAGAGGCGGACACAGACCUGAACCAGAAGCUGAAAUCCAACCUGGACGAGUUAGCAACUUGGCUGGUCCCUUAUGCCCAGAGCUUCCGGAGCCAGUGGGGAAAAUACCGGAAGUCCCUGGAACCUUUCACCAACCAAGUGCAGGAACGGCUUGAGCAAGGAGCAGGGGCCACCAAAGGAUCCUGGCAGUCUUAUGUGGCCCCUGUCCAGGUGGCAUUCAGAAAACACGCCAAGGUGAUCUAUGACUUGUUGUUCAGAGAUUAGUGAUUUUCCCACAUGUGAUAUAGUAUGGAACCCUGACCGACCUCUGUAAAGAACAGUGAACAGAAGAACAGAAGAGAAGCCAUGUUGGAUCAAGCCAGUGGCCCAUCCAGUCCAACACUCUGUGUCACACAGUGGCCAAAGAACCACAUCCCAUCAGGAGGUCCACCAAUGGGGCCAGGACACUAGAAGCCCUCUCACUGUGCCCCCCCCCCCAAGCACCAAGAAUACAGAGCAUCACUGCCCCAGACAUAAGAACAUAAGAGAAACCAUGUUGGAUCAGGCUAUGGCCCAUCCAGUCCAACACUCUGUGUCACACAGUGGCCAAAAAACCCCAGGUGCCAUCAGGAGGUCCAUUCGUGGGGCCAGGACACUAGAAGCCCUCCCACUGUUGCCCCCCCAAGCAACAAGAAUACAGAGCAUCACUGCCCCAGACAGAGAGUUCCAACAAUACGCUGUGAACCUCUGCCCCAUAUGCUUAUCCAAUCCCCUCUUGAAGCUGGCUAUGCUGGUAGCUGCCGCCACCUCCUGUGGCAGUGAAUUCAAUGUGUUAAUCACCCUUUGGGUGAAGAAGGACUUCCUUUUAUCUGUUUUAACCCGACUGCUCGGCAAUUUCAUUGAGUGCCCACGAGUUCUUGUAUUGUGAGAAAGGGAGAAAAGUACUUCUUUCUCUACCUUCUCUAUCCUUCUCUCUCUCUCUAGUGGUGAAGAGUGGCAGCCUCUAAUCUAGAGAUCUGGGUUUGAUUCCCCACUCCUCCUCCACAUGAAGCCUUCUGGGUGACCUUGGGCCAGUCACAGUUCUCUCAGAAGUCUCUCACCCCCAACUGCCUCACAAGAUGUCUGGUGUGGGGAAGCCAGCUUGGUGUAGUAGUUCAGAGCGGUGGACUCUAAUCUGGAGAUCCGGGUUUGAUUCCCCACUCCUCCUCCACAUGCAGCCAGCUGGGUGACCUCGGGCCAGUCUCAGCUCUCUCAGAAGUCUCUCAGUCCCACCUACCUUUCAAGGUGUCUGUUGUGGGGAAAGGAAGUAAAGGAGAUCGUUAGCCACUUUGAGACUCCUUGGGGGGGGGGGGGCGGUGUUAUGAAGUGUAUCCCUUGGCAUUUAGGGUUGCAGUUGACGCUUGUAAUUUUUAAUGUCGGUAAUAUCUGCAAGUGCGCAGACCCUUGUCUGGGAGAACUGGGUUUGAUUCCCCACCAGUGUUCCCUCUAAGCUGAGUUAGAGUGAUUUUUAGCCUCCAGCUCACAUCUUUUUGUCUUAGCUCAGAAAGGAUGACCCCAGAGCACACUAAUUGAUGUGGGAGCUCACAGCUUUAAUGCCAGUAGCUCACAAAGUGGAAUUUUUGCUCACAAGACUCCACAGUGUAGAGGGAACAUUGUUCCCCACCCUCCACUUGCAGCUGCUGGAAUGGCCUCGGGUCAGCCGUAGCUCUCAUAGGAGUUGUCCUUGAAAGGGCAGUUGCUGUGAGACCUCUCUCAGCCCCACCCACCUCACAGGGUGUCUGUCGUGGGGGGAAGAGAUAAAGGAGAUUGAAAGCCGCUCUGAGACUCUGAUUCAGAGAGAAGGGUGGGGUAUAAAUCUGCGUUCUUCUUCUUCUUCUGGGGCUGCUUUUUGAGGUGGAGGCACCAAAUUUUCAGCAUAGCAUCUGGUGUGCCUCCUCAAAACAAUCCCCAAGUUUCAAAAAGAUUGGACCAGGGGGUCCAAUUCUAUGAACCCAAAAAGAAGGUGCCCUUAUCCUUUAUUAUUUCCAGAGGGAAGGCAUUUAGAAGGUGUGCAGUCCCUUUAAAUGUGAUGGCCAGAACUCCCUUCGGAGUUCAAUCGUGCUUGUCACAACCUUGCUCCUGGCCCCACCUCCAAAGUCCCCA